rnacentral:rRNA from 1 species
GACGAACGCUGGCGGCGUGCCUAAUACAUGCAAGUUGAGCGCUGAAGGUUGGUACUUGUACCAACUGGAUGAGCAGCGAACGGGUGAGUAACGCGUGGUGAAUCUGCCUUUGAGCGGGGGACAACAUUUGGAAACGAAUGCUAAUACCGCAUAAAAACUUUAAACACAAGUUUUAAGUUUGAAAGAUGCAAUUGCAUCACUCAAAGAUGAUCCCGCGUUGUAUUAGCUAGUUGGUGAGGUAAAGGCUCACCAAGGCGAUGAUACAUAGCCGACCUGAGAGGGGGAUCGGCCACAUUGGGACUGAGACACGGCCCAAACUCCUACGGGAGGCAGCAGUAGGGAAGCUUCGGCAAUGGACGAAAGUCUGACCGAGCAACGCCGCGUGAGUGAAGAAGGUUUUCGGAUCGUAAAACUCUGUUGGUAGAGAAGAACGUUGGUGAGAGUGGAAAGCUCAUCAAGUGACGGUAACUACCCAGAAAGGGACGGCUAACUACGUG